rnacentral:rRNA from 1 species
CCAUCAGAAUAAGGACCGGCUAAUUCCGUGCCAGCAGCCGCGGUAAUACGGAAGGUCCAAGCGUUAAUCGGAAUUACUGGGCGUAAAGCGCGCGUAGGUGGUUUAUUAAGUUGGAUGUGAAAGCCCUGGGCUCAACCUAGGAACUGCAUCCAAAACUAGAUGACUAGAGUACGAAAGAGGGAAGUAGAAUUCACAGUGUAGCGGUGGAAUGCGUAGAUAUUGUGAAGAAUACCAAUGGCGAAGGCAGCCUCCUGGAUCUGUACUGACACUAAGGUGCGAAAGCGUGGGUAGCGAACAGGAUUAGAUACCCUGGUAGUCCACGCCGUAAACGAUGUCAACUAGCUGUUGGAAAACUAUGUUUUUCAGUGGCGCAGCUAACGUAGUAAGUUGACCGCCUGGGGAGUACGGCCGCAAGGCUAAAACUCAAAUGAAUUGACGGGGACCCGCACAAGCGGUGGAGCAUGUGGUUUAAUUCGAUGCAACGCGAAAAACCUUACCUAUACUUGACAUACUUGGAAUGCUUUGUAAUGAAGCAGUGCCUUCGGGAGCCAAGAUACAGGUGCUGCAUGGCUGUCGUCAGCUCGUGUCGUGAGAUGUUCCGUUAAGUCGGAUAACGAGCGCAACCCUUACCCUUAUUUGCCAGCGAUUCGGUCGGGAACUAUAAGGGGACUGCCGGUGAUAAACCGGAGGAAGGUGAGGACGACGUCAAGUCAUCAUGGCCCUUACGAGUACCCUGAAAAUUGAUCUUCCUUUCAAAUUAGCAUUAAGUAAAACAGCUCCAAUUAAACCAAUAAUAAGUUUUAAAGAGACUGAAAAAAACAUCCAAACAAAUGUUCUAGUCACUAUUCCAUUAAAUUUUUUACUAGAAAACAUUUUUUGAUAAUUUUCUAAACCAACAUAAUCUUCUCCU